AAAGGAAUUGACGGGGGCCCGCACAAGCGGAGGAACAUGUGGUUUAAUUCGAUGAUACGCGAGGAACCUUACCUGGGCUUAAAUGUAGAGUGCAUUAGUGGGAAACCAUUAUUUUCUUCGGAACUCUUUGCAAGGUGCUGCAUGGUUGUCGUCAGCUCGUGCCGUGAGGUGUCGGGUUAAGUCCCAUAACGAGCGCAACCCUUAUCGUUAGUUGCCAGCGGGUAAUGCCGGGAACUCUAGCGAAACUGCCGGUGUAAACCGAGAGGAAGGUGGGAUGACGUCAAAUCAGCACGGCCCUUAUGUCCAGGGCUACACACGUGUUACAAUGGCCGGUACAGAGGGCAGCUACCUGGAGACAGGAUGCGAAUCUCGAAAGCCGGUCUCAGUUCGGAUCGGAGUCUGCAACUCGACUCCGUGAAGCUGGAUUCGCUAGUAAUCGCGCAUCAGCCAUGGCGCGGUGAAUACGUUCCCGGGCCUU
rnacentral:rRNA from 1 species